UGAGGCCACAAACUUGGAGGUGUACCAGACCACACAUUUCUUAGCCUAGACUCACCGCUACACGGUGGCCUCCCUUGGUGGAAAUGACGCAUUGUCGACAGCGGCGCCCUGGGCAGCGGACGGCGAAGGUGAGUGCGCGUGCGUGCGCGGAGCAGGACGUCAGUUGGCGGUGGUCUGACGUCUUGGCCGGACACCUGGCACCUGGCUUGUCACCACACCGUCGCCAGAGGUCACUGCACGGCAGGAGGCGGUGUGCAGGUGUUGAAGACAGCAGGUGUGUCAGACCAUCUGAUCGGUAUCGGAAACAGGCGUGGCCGAGGUGUCUCCCCGGCAGAACGUGGAGGCGUCAUCGAUACACAGGCAGCGCCACACGGCGGCAGCUUCAGCGAGAUGUCGACUGACAGAGCGGAGAAGACCCAGAGAAGAGGAACAAUGGCGGACGCCAGCACAGCUGUUACUCAUGAUCAAAGUUCAGGCUAAUUGCUCUGCUGUCCGCCGCUCGCACGCCACCGGAAGUCAUUUUUCAAGAUGGCUUCUUCGCCAAGACGAUGGACUGGCUUUGGAGGGCAAGACGGACAUGCUCGGCUCUGCUGCGUGCUUCUCUCCACCGCCGCUGAACGAAGGGGGAGACUGGGGAGGGGGUGACAGAGGAAGAUGGAGGAAGGCAUCAGUAGGGCAGUUGCGUGUCUUCCACAAAAGGUGAGUCAAGGUUUUCAGUCCGUUGCUGAGUGACAUCGUGUUGGAGGGUUGUUGUUGUGUCUUGUUUU